CCUACGGGGUGCUGCAGUGAGGAAUAUUGGUCAAUGGCCGUAAGGCUGAACCAGCCAAGUCGCGUGAAGGAAGAAGGAUCUAUGGUUUGUAAACUUCUUUUAUAGGGGAAUAAAGGUAUCCACGUGUGGAUAUUUGCAUGUACCCUAUGAAUAAGCAUCGGAUAAAUCCGUGCCAGGAGCCGCGGUAAUACGGCGGAUCUGAGCGUUAUCCGGAUUUAUUGGGUUUAAAGGGUUGGUGAGCGGUUUGAUAAGUUCGAGGGGAAAUGUCGGGGCACAACCCCGAAACUGCCUAUAAUACUGGUGGACUAGAGUAGAGUUGCGGUAGGCGGAAUGUAUGGUGUAGCGGUGAAAUGCAUAGAGAUCAUACAGAACACCGAUUGCGAAGGCAGCUUACCAAACUAUAUCUGACGUUGAGGCACGAAAGCGUGGGUAGCAAACAGGAUUAGAUACCCUUGUAGUC
rnacentral:rRNA from 1 species